CCUACGGGUGGCAGCAGUGAGGAAUAUUGGUCAAUGGGCAGAAGCCUGAACCAGCCAAGUCGCGUGAGGGAUUAAGGCCCUGCGGGUCGUAAACCUCUUUUGCCGGGGAGCAGAGGUCCGGACGUGUCCGGGCCGGGAGAGUACCCGGAGAAAAAGCAUCGGCAAACUCCGUGCCAGCAGCCGCGGUAAUCCGGAGGUUGCGAGCGUUAGCCGGAUUGAUUGGUUUUAAGGGGUGCGUAGGCGGGCAUUUAAGCCGGCGGUCAAAUUUGGGGGCUCAACCCAGGCCUGCCGUCGGAACUGGGUGCCUUGAGUGGGCGAGAAGUAUGCGGAAUGCGUGGUGUAGCGGUGAAAUGCAUAGAUAUCACGCAGAACCCCGAUUGCGAAGGCAGCAUACCGGCGCCCUACUGACGCUGAGGCACGAAAGUGCGGGUAUCGAACAGGAUUAGAUACCCGUGUAGUC
rnacentral:rRNA from 1 species